rnacentral:rRNA from 1 species
CAAUAGCGUAUAUUAAAGUUGUUGCAGUUAAAAAGCUCGUAGUUGGAUUUCGGGGCAGCCUGGCUGGUCCGCCGCAAGGCGAGUACUGGUCAGCCGCCCUUCCUCUCGAAAGCCCCGACUGCUCUUCGUUGCAGUGGUCGGGUAGUUCGGGACGUUUACUUUGAAAAAAUUAGAGUGUUCAAGGCAGGCCUACGCCUGAAUACAUUAGCAUGGAAUAAUGGAAGAGGACCUCGGUCCUAUUUUGUUGGUUUCCAGGGCCGAAGUAAUGAUUAAGAGGGACAGUUGAGGGCAUUCGUAUUUAAUUGUCAGAGGUGAAAUUCUCGGAUUUAUGAAAGACGAACAACUGCGAAAGCAUUUGCCAAGGAUGUUUUCAUUAA